UACGUAGGGCGCAAGCGUUGUCCGGAAUUAUUGGGCGUAAAGAGCUCGUAGGCGGCCUGUUGCGUCCGCUGUGAAAACCCGGGGCUUAACCCCGGGCUUGCAGUGGAUACGGGCAGGCUGGAGGCAGGUAGGGGAGAAUGGAAUUCCCGGUGUAGCAGUGAAAUGCGUAGAGAUCGGGAGGAACAUCAGUUGCGAAGGCGGCUCUCUGGACCAGCACUGACACUGAGGCACGAAGGCUAGGGGAGCAAACGGG
rnacentral:rRNA from 1 species